rnacentral:rRNA from 1 species
UACAGAGGGUGCAAGCGUUGUUCGGAAUUACUGGGCGUGAAGCGCGUGUAGGCUGCGGUGUAAGUCGGACGUGAAAGCCCUUGGCUUAACCAAGGAAGUGCACCCGAUACUGCGUCGCUUGAGUACCGGAGGGGAUGGCGGAAUUCCCGGUGUAGAGGUGAAAUUCGUAGAUAUUCGCAAGAACACCAGUGGCGAAGGCGGCUCACUGGCCCGAUACUGACGCUGAGGUGCGAAAGCGUGGGGAGCAAACAGG